CACGCUGUAAACGAUGGAUACUAGGUGUAGGGCCCGAAUUGGGUUCUGUGCCGCAGUUAACGCAGUAAGUAUCCCGCCUGGGGAGUACGACCGCAAGGUUGAAACUCAAAGGAAUUGACGGGGGCCCGCACAAGCAGCGGAGCAUGUGGUUUAAUUCGAAGCAACGCGAAGAACCUUACCAAGGCUUGACAUCCUCUGACGUACGUAGAGAUACGUAUUCCCUUCGGGGCAGAGAGACAGGUGG
rnacentral:rRNA from 1 species